rnacentral:rRNA from 1 species
UACCCGGAGGAAGAGAAAGAAAAUUCGAUUCCCUUAGUAGCGGCGAGCGAAACGGGAAGAGCCCAAACCAACAAGCUUGCUUGUUGGGGUUGUAGGACACUCUAUACGGAGUUACAAAGGACGACAUUAGACGAAUCAUCUGGAAAGAUGAAUCAAAGAAGGUAAUAAUCCUGUAGUCGAAAAUGUUGUCUCUCUUGAGUGGAUCCUGAGUACGACGGAGC